rnacentral:hammerhead_ribozyme from 1 species
AUCCAGCUGACGCGUCCCAAAUAGGACGAAACGUGCGUCAUGGAU